ACCAAUCACAACAGCAGCUCAACACCACUGUGUUAUAGUAAUGUAGUAUAAACUGUAUGAAACUUUAACAGACUCUGUUUCUGUUUAGCGUGUUGGAGUUUUUAUACUGGUUUUCUAUCUAGUGAUUCUCAGUGAGCUGGAACUGAACUUUCAGAGCUGAUUAAACUUCACUCCAAGUUUCUCAGUUUCAUCACUCUGGGUAGGUUGAGGAUGUGGAUCAGGACAGCAGUGUUAUGAUACAAUCCAUGUUGAGGAGCUGUAAAACUGCAGCUGACUUUUACCCCUACAAGCUUUAUUUCACCCGUAUCAGCGACAGGACUGUAGGAAAACACAGCGGCCCAUAAAAACCCAAUAAAGCCGCCAGACCACAGGAGAGACGCUGAAGUCCGGAACAGUUUAAAACACCAAAGAGGGACGAAGUGAGUUCAGCUUCAUUUUACUGAGCUGUCUCUCAGGUUUAUUAGAUUCCCAUAAAUUCAAAAAAGACAUUUUUCUGCUGCAGUGUCAGAAUAAAUCUGUGUCCCAAAUCACAUACACUGAUCUCAUACUAAAGAAUAUUUAUUAUGAAGUACACUCACCCUGAUCAGUGAGAUCAGAACCUCUCCCACUGUUCUGGAGAAUCAGUCAAAACAGCACAAACAGGAGACUCCACUGAAUCAGGUGGAACAGGAGAAAUAGUCAAAUCAGGAGAAUUAGUUCAAUCAGGAUAAUCAGAGACUUGGCUGAAUCAGUUGAAUCAUAAGCAACAGACAAAACUGGAAACUCAGCAGGUCCAGGAGGAUUAGAUAAAUAAGGAGAAUCUGUAGAAUAUUUUUUAAUCUUCAAGUCAAACCAAACGAAUAAGAAGAGACAGUAGAAUCAAGAAAGCCUAGAGAAUCAGAAGGAUCAGUCUAAUCAGGAAAGUAAGAAGAAUCAUGAUGAUAUGAAGAAUCAGUAGGAUCGGGAGAAUCGGCAUCAUAAGACUGACAAAGAAAAUGAGUUGAAUCAGGAUAAUACAUUAAAUCAGGAUAAAUCAGGAAACUCAAAAAGAAGGACUCUUUUAAUCAAUUUAAUUUAUAGGAAUCAGUUAACUUAGGAGAAUCAAAACAAUCAGUCGAAUCAGAUUAAUCAAGAUGAAAAAAUAAUUAUUUAAAUCAGUCAAUGUUGUACAUAUUAUGUCUUCUUUAACUUUGUUUGUACCUUUAACCUGUAAAACUCAAGUCCACUUCAUUGUUAGACAACUGUAAAACUCACAAAUCAGUUGACUAGCAGGGUGGAGUUUUAUUUCUAAUGUUUAUACGAUUCAGGGCAGUCAUUCCUUUGUGAAUGGAAAGCUCUUCAAAUACAGGUCCACACUAUACAGGAUUUUGCUCUGAUUUUCUUUCUUACUUGAAUAUCUAUAAAUCAUGUCUGUAUAAGCAGUCAGGUGAUUCAUUAUUUAAAAUGAUUCACUAAAAUGAUUCAGUAUAACUUAGAUUUAAUACUAACAUAAAAAGCAGAAAUGAUUUAUUUCAGAUAUUAGAGCACUGAUUGAUUCUCUCUUUGUUAGUGUAUUAUGGUAUAGUGUGAUGAGUUUUAACCGAUCAUACAGCAUGUGUGCUACAGUAGAGGUACACGUGUACUCUGCUUGUGUGGUCUACAACAUGCAUGUGGAACAAGAGGUCAGAGGUGAUGCUGACGCAACCGUUUAGCACCUGUUAGCACCAGUGGCGCAUGAACAUUGUCUGCAUUUUUCCAAGGACGAGUUCAAAGAGGAUUCAAAGAUGUGAUCGUGUUCGAAAACAAUGCUAUUGUUUUGAUAACUGAACAAAAUAUAAUCGUCCUUCACUUCCUGUGAAGAGAGAGAGAGAGAAAACAAUCAAAUAAAUACACUAAUAAUGAUGAGAGAAAAUUAAAAGAGGAAAAGAGUAGCAUGUUUAAACUUAAUAAUAAGAGUAGCUAGCAUGUAGCUGUUCAUGCGAAAGUUUCUCAUGAACAGCUACAGUACAUGCUAGUUGCUAGCAUGCCAUAGCUAGCAUAAACCUUAUUAUUCUCAGUUAUUAUAGCUAGCUUAUUCUCAGGGGAUGUUAACAACUGUUAGUCAGUUGUCGAGCAACAGGGUUCUUAUUUCCCCAAAGUCAUCUCUCAGCACAGUGCAUGGUGUUCAUGUGGGAUCAUUUGCUUAGGUUUUCAGGGUCAUAUGUUUAUAUUUCUGCUCUAAUACUGUCUCUGCCAAUUUCUUAUCACUGGUGUAUUUCCUGCUCUGUGUUUAGUGUUUUAUUCAUUUGUCAUUGUAUUCCCUGCUGUUUCUGAGUUUCUGUGUGUAGAUUGUAAAUUUCUCAGUUUCUGUGUGAACUUUUGUAAUUGUGUGUUUUUUCACAUUCUGUUGUUUUAUCGUAGAUCUCGUACUUCUUCUUGGCUUUGAUCCUCUAUUUAUUUCUCAUUUAAUUGUUACGGAUUACUCAUAUUUAAUGCUGUAUUCCUGAGCUUUGGACCCAGCUUUGAAAAUACAGAAUGGCCUGAGUUUACACUCGUGAAUCUUUAGCGUCUGGACUCCUCAUGCUGAGAAGAGGACAUUUCCCAGUUUGUGAUGUUUGGAGUGUAAGGUUUUGGCUAAAAACUCAUUUGGCGGAAAAGUUUCUGCAAACCUAGAGGAAUUUCACUGUUUAGCACACUGGGGGGAAUAACACACUGCACAGAGAGGUCACAUUGACACACAAUACAAAAAAUAAAGAAAUAAAAUGAACAUAUCAAAUGCAUAAUUAGUGCAGAGCUACAUUAGUAGCUCACUGAUUGCACAAAGUGCUGAGUCUGGAGAAGGAAUUUAGCCACGCAGUAGAGUGUUACACAUUAAUCCCUCUAUUCUGUGUGUGUGUGUGUGUGUGUGUGUGUGUGUGUGUGUGUGUGUGUGUGUGUGUGUGUGUGUGUGUGUGUGUGUGUGUGUGUGUGUGUGUGUGGUUUGUUAAUCUCACACUACCAAUUAUCCCAGCAGGCUUUGGCUCUGACCCACUGGCUGUGAAGCUCUGAGCCACAUUGAGCUUUUGUUCUUUGUGAUAACACACAAGUUGAUAUAAAAAUAAAUAGAUAAAACACACACAAGCCAUAAUAACAUGCUAACAGUCACUGAUAAAACAUACAUCUGUUCAUCUUUUUGUUAGAAGCUUCAUGUGUAGAGUGAAAUAUUAAUUUUCUCCAUGGUUAAAGGUGUAUUAAAUUGCAUUACAUAAGCGCUUUCGCUACAUGUUUAGCAUUGGAAGUGCAGUAACAUUAGAUUUGCUAAUUAAUUCAGCAUCAAUUUCUAGAAAUAAUUAAGAACUGUUUGGUUUAUCGGACUGUUUCACUAAAUGCCGCUGAAUUUUGGAUUCUGAAUAGUCAUCAGGUGAUGGUUUUUUAAACAGAUGCACUGCUCUGCUCUAUUUACAGACCAUACUUCACCUGGACAUUCUAAGGACACUUUAACUCUGGACUUGCACAGCACAGUGCCACUUUAUACACUAUUUACACACCAUACUGCACCUGGACACUUUAAGGACAAUCUUUAAAAACCAUACACAUUUAUGUAUAUGUAUA